GGGCUGAAGCAUUGUCCAAAGAGCUAAAAUGCACUAAGAGAGAAGUCUGCUUUGUUUUAUUUAUUCUUAAACAUUCUGCUGGUUUCCAUCCCAUGCUGCGCUCUCUUCCAUAUGCUCCCUACACCCACCAACACACCCACCUACACACACUCACAAUUUACCAACAUACUUUAUGACUUUGCUGAAUUAAGAUCCACACCACCAUUCAAAUAAGAUAAAAUAAACAGCUGUUUUCUUUCUGCAGAAUGAGCGUAUACUGACUUGGCACUUAUGAAGCAUCUGAAAGAAGGAGGCUGCCAGAAAUGUCUUACACCAACACUGCACUGAAGGCCUAGGUCUGGAGUAUGUGCAGCUGUGUGCACUAAGGAGCAUUGGGAUCUUGCAGUAGGAAAAUUUCUAGGGGGAUCUUGCAGGCAUGCAAGCCACGGUAGUGUGUUGUAGGUCACCAAGAAGCCAGAGGAGGUGCCCAUGGGAUCUCCAGGCUUGAACACAUAGUCAAAAUAGCAUCAACAGGGUACAACAGAAGCCCAUUGCAGACAUUUAAUUCAAGACCUCCCUUUCUGCUGGAGAAUUACAGUCCCAAGAAGUGCAAGCAGCAGAGACUGACUAGAUUUGCCCUGCCUCUCUUAUCUCCUGCAUUAAGCUCCUUGAUUUGGGAGCUGACAGAAUUUUGCAGUGCCCAGCAGACAAACAAAUAACCUAGAAAGAGUCUGAAACAGGUUAUAUUACUGUGAAUCCUGUUUUGCCAUCCAUUUCUGCUGCUUAUCAGUUGUAGGCCAUUACACCUCAUUCUGAAAAUCAAAAGGGCUGAAAACAAAAGCAGCAUCUCAGAUUGUCACCUUGGUAUUUCUCCUUGCUGUAUGUAUGGUAACUGUUGAGUCACAACCUGAACUGCUGAUUGAGCACCUGCAGAAAGAACCCAGUCAGCCUUGGGAGCACAGGUGAAGGCAAUUCUCCUGUGCAACUGGAAGGGGUAGAACCUAGCUGCACUUCUCUUAGACCACAUUUAAGGGCUGAUUGCCUUUAAGGAAGGGUCUCUGGUUGGAGAUCCCUCUCUUGUGGAGUCUUUUCUGUGAGCCUGGAUCCUUAGAGCUGACCCACCAGGCCUGAUCUGCAUGGGUUCUUAAAGACAAUGAAGGCUGCCUGACAGCUUGGAGUGAACACAUGAGACUUGAUCAAAGGUGGAGUAAGAGUUACCAACCAGUGGGGACUUCUGCAGGGAUUGUAGCAGCAUACAUUUUGGAAUCAGGGCUUGAAAUACAGCCACAAAAACUGUCAGGGACUCAGCAUUUAACUGGAUGUUGAGUCAAUUGUAAAAUAUUUGGACAAGAUUCUUUUCCUUCCCCUUUAGCUCCUUCCAACAUCCUCCCUCUGGAAAAACACUUUAAUAUGUGGAAUAUAAAUUAAGAGGUCUCCAAAAGAGUUGAUACGCGUUUGGGAAAAUAUUGUUGCACAGCGUGACUGGACAGUUUUAUUCCAUUUGAGACAGAUUGAAAAGAUGGAAAUUACUGUGAUACUGGCUGAUGGAAUAGCUCCAAACUCUUUCAGCUUUGUCUGGAACAGGCAUGGCUUAGCUACUGUUGUUUUACAUAGUGACUAAAUGUAAAUACUAUAAAAUAUUUAUGAAUAAUGAAUGCCAAACUGAUCACAUUGUAGAUUUUUACUGGAGCAUGUAUAUCUUGUUAUUAACCUGACAUUUAUAGUAUCUUGCCUCUUAUCACUUAAUCAAGUCAUCUGUCCAUAUACUUCAUCUUCUGAAAUAUGAGAAGUUGGAAACAGUUCUGUGAUUUAUUUAAAAUCUCUGAGACUGUUUCUGCCAGUGUGUGUGCUGAUAAAUGUUAUGUUAACAGGUUCUCUGUUUGUUUAACGUUCUCCUGAGGAGGGUUAGAUGUGAUUUAAGCAAUCUCAUAUAUUUAAAGUACAGCAUUAAUUUCAAGUCUGCAGUGAGAACGACAGGAAGGGUCACAGGCAGCACAGCCACUCGUAUGACAGUGGAUAGCUUUUGUAUUCCUAACUAGAAGUUUAUUCACAUCUCAAGCUACUACUGGUCUUGAAAAUCUUGAUUUAAGAAAACAUAGUAUAGAAAUUAAGUCAUGCAUUGCAAGACUAACAACAGUAUAGGAAUUUGUCCAAUAACAGUCUAAUGUCUGUUGUUCAAUUUUUGUCUGUCUGCAUAUGGUUUGCUAUACAUCAACUUUCCCUUAGAGGAAUCAGAGGGCUUUUUACAACAUAUAGCUUCAACAUGCGCGCGGGCGCGCACACACACACACACACACACACACACACACACACACACACACACACACAUUCACAGCCUUGCUAGCUGUUUUCUAGAAUGUUUUUUCCCUGACAGUACUACAGAGGUGGUAAAUCAAGCCUCAAUUAUGCAUACCUGUUUUCUAGAGAGCAUUUGGAAUUGCUAAAACACUUCAAAGUCUUAGAUUAUUGCCUUUUUGUCAUGGAUAUCUGCUAUGCUUUGCCUGAAUUUGAUGGACACCUAAUUAAAAUAAAAAAAGCUGAAUCCAUAUGA